GUCCCAGCGUGUACGCUCUUGGUGCGCCGCAACUCGCAAUGAGUUAUAGCAACGCCCCGGGAAUGCGAGGCAACAUAUAUUCCGUCACCCAUCUUCCCUUAAUAGUUAUACAAAAAAAUAGUAAAAUAAUAUUUCACUUUCAUUACGCCUUUGGGUUUAAUAUUAAGAUCCCAAUGACUUGCGUAUAUGCUAGACUCCUUGGUCCGUGUUUCAAGACGGGUCCUGUGAUUAACCCAAACAAAUAUUAUGUCAUUAACAAAAUGAUUUCUUAUAUGGAAAAAAAUAAAACGGUUUAAGAACACUAUGACCAACAAUAUUUUAUACGUAGAAUUGGCAAAUUAUAUCCAAAUACUACACUAUUAUAUAAAAAUAUUUGUCACAGGUCUAAACGCACAAAUAAAAAGCGUUUCCAUAUAUCUAAUCGAAUAAUAUACCAUCAGGUAGAUGUCGGGACACCAUAAAUCCGGAUCGCACAAAUAUUAAAAUUUGACGUCACGGUCUAUAUUACGGGCCUUAAACAACCAAUACCCAAUAGGUCAUGACAUUCUAAUAAGGGAGAAGUGCACACCUCCGGAUAUAUACAAAUAUACAUAAAAAAGUGGAGCACCAUAAGACACUAUAUAAACAUAAAAAUGAAUAAUAUAGGCAUGCAACGUCUCAAAUUCAUAAAAUUAAAAAUCUUAUGAAACACUAUAAAAAUGGUAAUAUCCGGAUAGGCAAUUGAAUCUCCCCGUUCGAAAAUUUGGGAACCACAGGUUUACCCCUGAACAGUUUCACGUACUAUUGAACUCUCUCUUCAAAGUUCUUUUCAACUUUCCCUCACGGGACUUGUUUUUUAUCGGUUUCGCAGUAAUAUUUAGCCUUAGAUGGAGUUUACCACCCCCUUAGAGGUGCACUCUCAAGCAACCCGACUCUAAGGAGAAACCCACCUAAAUAUACAAACGGUCACUACGGGCCUGGCACCCUCUAUGGGUAAAUGGCCCCCUUCAAGAAGGACUUGGACGCGCUUAUAAAAAAUUUAGGUUAAACGGGCUCUCCCAAACACUACAUUGGCUGAUAACUGUUUCCAAUCAUAGCCUUCAGUGCUGGGCUUUUCCCUGUUCGCUCGCCGCUACUUAGGGAAUCCUU
rnacentral:rRNA from 1 species